rnacentral:rRNA from 1 species
CCCUUGACAUGUCAGGAAUCCUGGAGAGAUUUGGGAGUGCUCGAAAGAGAGCCUGAACACAGGUGCUGCAUGGCUGUCGUCAGCUCGUGUCGUGAGAUGUUGGGUUAAGUCCCGCAACGAGCGCAACCCUUGUCAUUAAUUGCCAUCAUUCAGUUGGGCACUUUAAUGAGACUGCCGGUGACAAACCGGGGGAAGGUGGGGAUGACGUCAAGUCCUCAUGGCCCUUAUGGGUAGGGCUUCACACGUCAUACAAUGGUCGGUUCAGAGGGUUGCCAACCCGCGAGGGGGAGCCAAUCUCAGAAAGCCGAUCGUAGUCCGGAUCGCAGUCUGCAACUCGACUGCGUGAAGUCGGAAUCGCUAGUAAUCGCGGAUCAGCAUGUCGCGGUGAAUACGUUCCCGGGUCUUGUACACACCGCCCGUCACACCAUGGGAGCGGGUUCUGCCAGAAGUAGUUAGCCUAACCGCAAGGAGGGCGAUUACCACGGCAGGGUUCGUGACUGGGGUGAAGUCGUAACAAGGUAGCCGUAGGGGAACCUGCGGCUGGAUCACCUCCUUUCU